rnacentral:rRNA from 1 species
UUGACCUCGGAUCAGGUAGGGAUACCCGCUGAACUUAAGCAUAUCAAUAAGCGGAGGAAAAGAAACCAACCGGGAUUGCCUCAGUAACGGCGAGUGAAGCGGCAAGAGCUCAAAUUUGAAAGCUGGCUCCUUCGGAGUCCGCAUUGUAAUUUGCAGAGGAUGCUUUGGGUGCGGCCCCCGUCUAAGUGCCCGGAACGGGCCGUCAGAGAGGGGAGAAUCCCGUCUUGGGCGGGGUGUCCGUGCC